rnacentral:rRNA from 1 species
GAUGAACGCUGGCGGCGUGCUUAACACAUGCAAGUCGAACGAUGAAGCCCAGCUUGCUGGGUGGAUUAGUGGCGAACGGGUGAGUAACACGUGAGUAACCUGCCCUUGACUCUGGGAUAAGCCUGGGAAACUGGGUCUAAUACCGGAUAGGAACGUCCACCGCAUGGUGGGUGUUGGAAAGAUUUAUCGGUCAUGGAUGGACUCGCGGCCUAUCAGCUUGUUGGUGAGGUAAUGGCUCACCAAGGCGACGACGGGUAGCCGGCCUGAGAGGGUGACCGGCCACACUGGGACUGAGACGCGGCCCAGACUCCUACGGGAGGCAGCAGUGGGGAAUAUUGCACAAUGGGCGAAAGCCUGAUGCAGCGACGCCGCGUGAGGGAUGACGGCCUUCGGGUUGUAAACCUCUUUCAGUAGGGAAGAAGCGAAAGUGACGGUACCUGCAGAAGAAGCACCGGCUAACUACGUG